UUUUUACUUAGCAGGAGCGUGGUCUCCUUUGUGAAAUAUUCUGUUUCACUCUUGGUUUCUCCAUUUACCACUCUUUGGGGGUAAGAUUUUGAGUUUGGUGCUGGAUUCUUCUCCAUUGUACCUAUACCUGAAUCAACACUUAUGGGCAAGAGCAGGUGUUUCAUACUUGAAGUGGAGGAUUCUAAAACAGAGUGUUGAACAAUAUUUAGAGGUUUACUUACUCUGCUAUCACUCAUAGCAUCUUGCAUUGACUCAGCUUUG
rnacentral:lncRNA from 1 species